rnacentral:rRNA from 1 species
GACGUAGGGUGCGAGCGUUGUCCGGAUUUAUUGGGCGUAAAGAGCUCGUAGGCGGCUCGUCGCGUCGACCGUGAAACCCCGCAGCUUAACUGCGGGCCUGCGGUUGAUACGGGCGGGCUAGAGUUCGGUAGGGGAGACUGGAAUUCCUGGUGUAGCGGUGAAAUGCGCAGAUAUCAGGAAGAACACCCGUGGCGAAGGCGGCUCUCUGGGACGGUACUGACGCUGAGACGCGAAAGCGUGGGGAGCGAACAGG